UGUUGCAGACAGCCUUGUUGUGGUUGGUGCAGCUCUGGGCGUGUUAGCGUGUCUAAUUAUGGCUGCUCUUGCGGCCAUACUCAGAAGAAGAUCAGUUUCAAAGUCACUUGCGGACUUGUCCAUCUCUGUAGACAGUGUACUGGAUGAAGAGGACCCUGAGCAUGUGUAUGAUGAAUACACUGAGGCAGUUGUAUACAGCACUAUUGGUCUGCCCCAGGAGGGUUCUGAGCAGGCGUACUGCACGGUGCAGUUCUCGGAC